GAAGAAAACAAGAGGGCAAAGUGAGUCUAGUGAGUUUUACCCUGAGCCCAGAUGACCUCAUCCAGCGGCUUUAUGUACUGUUGAAGAACAUGGAAGACAAGCUCGAUCCCUAUAGUACUCCAUAUGCCAGAGGCCAUUGGGAGCAGCAGUAGCCCUCAGCACUACUUUCUGGGAUUGACCCUACAGGAUAGGGUAAUGGCCACCAGUUUGGAUGACUAUAAAAGAGGUAUAGACAAAUCCAUGGAGAUCAGGACUAUCAACUGCUACUAGACCUGAUGGCUAUAGACUGCCUCCAGGUUGAGGGGAGCAACAGCAAGAGAGAGGGCACAUGCCUUCAUCUUCUGGUUGUGGACAUCCCAGAAGCAUCUGGUGGGACACAGUGGGUGGGAAACAGGGUGCUGGACUAGGUAGGCCUUGAGUCUGAUCCAGUAAGGCUCUUCUUAUGGUCUUAGAUACAAUCUAAUUAAAUUAAAUAAGUUUGUUCAAACUACUAAACAGUCAAAGGUUCAAUAUAUAUCGCAGAAUGUUCCUUUUUAAUCUAAUGUUUUCUGGUUUUACUGAUGUUGUGUAUGGUGUACACACUUUCUCUGGCUGCGCAUUGGUCUGUGGGUUACAAGAUGAAUAUGGGACUGAAGGGGUAACUUUUAUAAUCCCUGCUGUUGUCUUAAAAUUAUAUUGUUUAUUUGUAUUAUGUUUUACAUAUUGAAAUAUUGUUUUCUAACCAUUAAA